GCCUUCAUGGUGUAGUGGUCAUCACAUUCGGCGGGUAUUCGAGAGGUCCGUGGUUCGAGUCCCGGUGAGGGCA
rfam:Stegodyphus mimosarum contig23842, whole genome shotgun sequence.